GCGCGAAACCUUCACAAUGCACGAAAGUGUGAUGAGGGUACUCCGAGUGCGCAUACAUUGUAUGUGCUUUUCUGCAGCGUAAAUAGUUGCAGGAAUAAGGGCUGGGCAAGACCGGUGCCAGCCGCCGCGGUAACACCGGCAGCCCUAGUGGUGGUCGCUUUUAUUGGGCCUAAAGCGUCCGUAGCCGGAUAGGCAAGUCUUUGGGUAAAUCCUACGUCUUAAGCGUGGGAAUUCUAAAGAUACUACCUGUCUUGAGGCCGGGAGAGGCUAGAGGUACUCCUGGGGUAGGGGUAAAAUCCUAUAAUCCUGGGGGGACCACCGAUGGCGAAGGCAUCUAGCUGGAACGGGCCCGACGGUGAGGGACGAAACCCAGGGGAGCGAGCCGGAUUAGAUACCCGGGUAGUCCUGGGCGUAAAUGAUGUGGGCUUGGUGUGAGCGCAUCGACGAGGUGCGUUUGUGCCGUAGGGAAGCCGUUAAGCCCACCGCCUGGGGAGUACGGUCGCAAGGCUGAAACU
rnacentral:rRNA from 1 species